rnacentral:rRNA from 1 species
AGUGAACGCUGGCGGUAGACCUAACACAUGCAAGUCGAACGGCAGCACAGUAAGAGCUUGCUCUUACGGGUGGCGAGUGGCGGACGGGUGAGGAAUACAUCGGAAUCUACUUUUUCGUGGGGGAUAACGUAGGGAAACUUACGCUAAUACCGCAUACGACCUACGGGUGAAAGCAGGGGAUCUUCGGACCUUGCGCGAUUGAAUGAGCCGAUGUCGGAUUAGCUAGUUGGCGGGGUAAAGGCCCACCAAGGCGACGAUCCGUAGCUGGUGUGAGAGGAUGGUCAGCCACACGGGAGGUGGGACACGGUCCAGGCUCCUACGGGAGGGAGCAGUGGGGAAUAUUAGACAAUGGGGGCAAGCCUGACACAGCCAGACCGAGUGGGUGAAGGAGGCCUUCGGGUUGUGAAGCCGUUUUGUUGGGAAAGAACAGCAGCAGGUUGAUACGACGCGGUAGUGACGGUACCGGAAAAAGAAGCACCGGCUAACUUCGUG